AGGUGCCAUGCGCUGACCUCUUGGCCCUCCCACCCAGACAGCCAGGAACUGAAGAUCACAGCCUCCUGUCCUCAGCCUGUAAGAAUGCAGCUGUCGUCAGACGGCCUUCCCAGAGGCCAUGGAGAAAACCACGCAGCAGCACAUAAGCCGGGUCCAGCAGAGCCCGAUCAACACCAAAUAACUUCUAAAAUGGAACAGCAGCUGCCAACCAUUGGUUUUGUGACCUGGCAUGUUUCUUAAAUCAGUGAGUGUACAAUACGCCCAGUAAAAGUCUCCAGAUCUCAGUUGCUCCAACAUCAAAAGAUUCCUCAUUGCUUAUGUCUCAGUCCCACGUCUGUGGGAGCCCCGACCAUCUUGUCACGACACCACCUGGGAUGGAGGCCCCGACAGCCAGCACGGAAGGGCAGGAAGGAGCUGGGCUGUGCAGGGGGUCUCCAAGCGCCUGACUCAGAGGCAGCGUGCACCACCUCUGCCCAAGUUCCACCAGCCAGAACUAGGUCCACGACCUCAUCCAGCUGCAAAGGCGGCUGGGCAGUGUCGUCUGCUGUGCUCGGGAAUCCGCGCUGAGUGCACGGUGUUACCUCCGCCAUCUCUCACCUUCCUGGACUCCAGACCAUACAUGGAGAAUAAAAUUCAGAAACUGUCCUGUUUACAGAAAAUGUGUGUAACCAGCAAGGCCUCCUAUGUCAUACUGGACAGGUGAGAACUUACCAAAAAAAGAGCGAGCUGCCUUGCUCACACAUCGGGUGCCGGGAAUGGGCAGUUGUGGCUAAGGAAGCAGGCCCACGGUCGGCGAACAGGACUGACUGAGCACAGCACCCGGCCCCCCAUGGGGCGGACGGCAGCUCUGACGUCUCCGUUUCCAGUCAGCACACGCUCCAUGCUGCAAUCCCUGUAGUCGUUCCCAAACGUUGAGUGAAAGUCUGGUCCGCGUAGCCGCCUCCUGUCAGAGACACUUCGGAGAGCGAAGGAGAAACUGUCACUGAGCAGGACAGAGCGGGGAGGGGCACAGGCAGCCCCAGAGGGGGAUUCGGAUCCAGAGCCUCGGUUCCCAGAAGAGGCUGGAAGGGAUCCUGGAAGCCGCCUCCAGACACCCUGGGAAACUGCAGGGGACACAGGGCCACCAUGCACACGAGGACAGCUCUCAGCCACUUUACUGGUCAUCAAACUGAAGAGCGGCCACAGAAGGUGGAAGCACCCGGGCUGUGAGGUCAAGUUCCGCAAGUCCCUCAGUCCUGCCCACGUCAAGUGUGGAUGUUUUCAGACGGCCGUGGAGAGACACGAUGUCUGAUUUAGCAAAGACACCCCAGUCCUUCCAGCAACCAAACGCGCGGACAGACAGAGCAUGGCCUGCACUCCGCUCUUCUUCCUCUUUCCAAUGUGCGUGUUGUCAGGUGAUUGUAGGUGGUUGUUCUUUUUUUUUCUUUUUCUGUAAGGAAAUGAAAAAUCGCAUCUUGAAAAGCAGCUGUAAAGCUUUUCUGUAAUUACCAAGGAAACUAUCA
rnacentral:lncRNA from 1 species